rnacentral:misc_RNA from 1 species
AACGCACCUUGCACCCUUUGGUAUUCCGAAGGGUAUGCCCGUUUGAGUGUCAUUGUAAUCUCACACCCAAGACUUCUUGUCGAGGGAGGUGGACUUGGAUGUUGCCGUUUGUUACAAACGGCUCGUCUUAAAUGUGUUAGCGCGGCUUUGAUAAUAGCGUUACGCCUAGUGUAAUAAAUAUUUCGCUAGGUAGUUGUAAUCAAGUGUGUGCUCUCUAAUCGUCUCUUUUUUUGAGACUAGACCUUUACCGGUUUACUUGACAACUUGGCCUCAAAUCGGGUAGGACUACCCGCUGAACUUAA